rnacentral:lncRNA from 1 species
CUCGGUCGCGAAAUUGCCGGUCUGCAGAGCCUCACAUUUUGCCCCGGGAUACAUUCCAAUGCAAUAUUAGGUAUCUAAAUAACAUAUUGAGUGAGUUACUGCUCUCUCCAGCACACUUUGGCCCGAUCGGACCGACACGCGUGUGGCAAGCAAAACCCACCACACACACAAGGUGUACACACACAAAAAUUAAAACUUUUGGUGCGGUGUGUAUGGAGGGGCCAAGGACCUUAUAACCCGCCUGUCACGCGUGUGGGGACGGAGUGACAAGCCUGCGCAGCACUGCUUCCACUGCAACGGUCUCGUUCUGUGUUGGCUCCGGUGUUAUAAGACUGUAUUGAUGAGGCCAAGGUAGACCAGAGAGUUAUCGAGAUAAGGAGGAGAAAUCGAGACUAAUCGAGAUGCGGAAGCGUAGCGGAAUGUUACGGGGAAGGUACCAAGCACGGGAACCACCUGCGUGUCAACGGCUGACACGAAAACCGCCUAAGCCGUGCCUUCAGCCAACCCGGGGAAAAUGGCUGGAGAGAGAGGGAGAAAGGAGCCGUGCUGCCGAGCUGGGGUUCGCUGGUCUUAGGCACUAAGGCUGGCGCGCAGGGGCGCGAGGGGAAACCAAGGGAGGCUGGCGCACAAGGGCGCAAAGGGAAGCCAAGGAGAAGCUGGCGCACAGUGGCGCAAGAGGCGAAAGGGCCAAGUAAGCCAAGCAUAUGACUUACAGAGGGGAGGCAGGGGUCGGGAUCGACCAGGUACUCAGAGCGUGUGUCUGGUAUGAUCAGCCUAGCCCAAACUCCGCCUUAUAUAGCCCCCUAGCGGGGUCACUGUACGGCAUCUAGUCAACGUACGACACGACCCUUUGACCAGGCCGGUCCAGGCCGGUCAGGCCGGUCAAGGCCAACACGCGAUGCACGGGACCUCUCACGUGCCAUGGCACGUGCACAGGCUAGCCGCGGCCAUGCAACCCCGCACGUGCCCCAGGCACACUGCACGCGCACACCGCAACCUUCAUGCAUGCGACCACUACAUCGCCCACAUAUACAUGGGCUAACCUAGUAUACAACCCAUCAUACCUCGCAAAUCCAUGCGGACCAAGCACUCCAUCUCACGUGGAGGCGAAACACACACGCCACGCACCGUGGCACCCCCCUUCAACCCCCGCGAGCAGAUGCGUCCUGACGCUUAGCGCGUGACCCCCACGUAUGCUCACCACAGCUGUGGCAAGUUCCCCUGCGAACGCCCGUGACCCUACGGGCUAUGAGGUCACGCGCUAGCACACAAACCCUUCAACUUGUAUUAUCAGUUGCACGCGCGGAAGUCCCCAGGAAUGUCCUCCACGGCGGCGGGUCUUUGGGCUUGGCCUUCGGGCUUUAGUCUUGACCUUGGGUCACGACUUGGGGUUCUUGAACUUGAGAAAGGGGGUCUCAGGCUCGAUCUUGGGCCUUAGUGCCCGUCGCCACGGCGGGGAGGCCCGUAGCCGGGUGGCCACCACAGGGGGUCGCGGUUGACUGAGUAAUGCCCCUUAGUGAUGCCCCUUAGUGAUGCCUCGUUGUGAUGCACCUUGGUGAUGUCCCUUUGCGAUGUCAAAUUAUCAUAGCAUGAUAUACAGGAGGCACGAUAAAGGUGGAGAGGUGCACCGUAAGGGAACGAACGACAAGGGCCGUACCCCACGGCCGUACCGGUUGCAGAUCCUGGGCGAGUCUCCCGGAUUCCCGGAUAUUCAUAGCACCUGCCUCCAUGUACGCCAAUGUGAACCCAGCUUCGCGAUGCAGGUCGCCUGCUUGCCGUGCUUGCUUGCAUCCCGGCGCCCGGCGGGCUUUAAGAGCGGUCGCCUACGCCAGGGCAGCCCUGAUCCGCGCUUUCUGACUGCCAAUACUUCUUUUGGCUGUCUUUCUUUCCUUUUUCGCCAUUCUGAUCUCUUUCCGACACCUCAGGAGGGGCACCGACACACAUCACGCACGAAGUGUCGCGCUUGUCGCGGCCCAUCACCCUGGCCUGAGUAUUAGCAGAGAAUGAUAAGAUAGGAUGAGCGCUAGGCGCCCGAACGGGGUGUUCCUCGUCGGCAGCUUCAUCGGUGCCGACUUCGGUCUUGCGGAACGACAUAAGAGGCGUGUCGGGAGGCAACACAUCUUCUUGGCAUGGAAACUUCUUGUCGGGCUCUCCUGACAGUGAGUUGGUUCCGGGCUCACUCCAGUCGCCAGCAGGGGCGCGCAGGCCUGGGGUGGAGGGCUCGCCUGGCAAGGCUAGGCCGCUGGCGCCCGAUGACCGUAGCUCGGCUUCAGACGUGUGCUCAUGCGGACGCUCCGUGUUCAACGUAGAAUGGCCUUCCGGUAGCGGGGUCAUGGGGAUAGCGGACGGAAUGGCACGGGGCAAGCCGGUCAUGGUCUCGUGGGGGUCUUCAACACUAACAACUGCCUUGCGCGGCAGGAAUGCCAGGGCGGUGCUAGGCUCUCUAGCUUUACGGAAGAGCACAUCCUCUUGCAACUCGUAAAGCGCUGCCCGGCGUUGCACGCGGUCCGACUCACACAGGGCGACGCCGCGAUCCAACGUGCCGCAUGAUAACUCAAGUGGGGCUUUCCCCGUCCUCAGGAACUUUAUCAACGCGAUGUCGGACCAAGGGUCCGCACUACCCUUCGAGGCGGCUGGUAUCAAGGCCACUUCGUCCACAUGGCUGACAUGCGCGUCAUCUCUUCUUCCAUGAACCACCGGCCCGUCGUCUCGGGUAACGCAAGGUGCGUAAGGCAGUGGGCACAACUGAAACGGCUCCAGUGGCACAGGGUCGUCAGAAACAAACAGGAAAGGGGGCUCCGAGCACGUGGCGGGCUGGCGGGUAUCGCAGAGGGGUUGGCACCGCAACGCCGGGCCGCCGGCAUCAAACUCAUCCAUGGACACCGGGGUUGGCAAGCGGCCAGCAUGAAGGUCAUAACUCUCACACAGACAUGCGCUGCCCUCUGAACCGUCCGCAGGGUCGGUACCUGGCUCCAUCACUAUCGCAUUCCGCCUGGCCUGGUCCGCCUGAACUUCUGGACCUGAACCGCCGGGUAGGUCCGGUGGCAGGGCCCCGGGGCCGGGGGUGGACUCACAACGAAGAAGGGUAUUGCGGGGGUCGGGACGCCCCACACUAUGGCUCGAGUGUGAUGUCGCAACACCACGGGUCUCGGCAGGUCGGGGCUUCACCACGGCGGAAGGGGAUUCCGCACUCAUGGUCUCGCACAAGGAGGCUUCCGGAUGCAGGCAGGGCAUUCCACGCACAGCGGCGCCAUCAUGCUUGCAGUAGAUGGCGUGGGAUUCGUACGCAGCCGCAGGGGUCGCGGCCCGUUCCCCUGCUGAGCUGGUUGCCCGGGGAGCUAAGGUCUUAUCUCGAAAUGCUGCAGGGCCACGGUCGCGGGCUGCAACCGGAGGGAGGCUACUGGGAGCGGAGGCCGGCGCACCGUCUACUGGUGAUAGGGCGAGGAGCGCUUCUGUGGGCAGGGCAGCGGCAGGCCCCGCGCCUCUAGCGGUAAAAUUUGUGGGCAUGGCGGCACGGGGCUCACGAUGCGGAACGGCGCGCGCGACACAUGCAGCCGGGGUGCAUGUAGUUGAGGCGGGCCUGGUAUCAUGCGGCGGGGGAAACUUUCGCACGGCGCCGCAAGCAACAACCUUAGGCAAUGCAGGCUGGAUGCGCUCGCGGGACAGGGUAGCGCCUUCGCAGGCACGCUGCGUGUGGGCGGGCAGACAGGUGUCAUGCGCUAACUCGAACAGGUUGGCUUGGGGCGAAGCGUCAUAGGCUUGGGUUCUGGUUGAGCCUCGGGUCAGCUCAUGCAAAUUGACGGCAAAUCGUGCAAUUUGCUUCUGCAGAUGAUCGAGGCAGCAGCCGUCGCAGCGGGCUGGGGGCCGUGGCGGGGCCGGCGCUCAUGCCGACGGUCUUCAUGGUGGCCGCCUGCAGUUGCCCCGUCGUAGCGGAGAGCCUCAAACUUAGAGCAACGCUCGAUAAAGGUGCCAUUGGUGGGCAGGCGCUCUUGCCAUGUGACACGGUCUUGGUCAUACUCACCAGGGGCCGUAUCCCGCAUGAGGCCAACACCGGCCUCCCUAACGUAGAUUGCGUUGGUUAUUGCAUCAUCCAAAUUAGCGGGCCGCAUGAGGUAAACCUGCUGGUAGACAUCGGGAUGUAGGCCACGAAGGAAGCUGUACAUGUAAGUGGGGUCGCAGGCCGGGUUGAUGUUAAGCUGGGCCACCAGACUGCGGUAGCGGUCGGCAUACCGGCGGACACUUUCAUUCCGACCCUGUCGACAGUUGGAUAGGCGAUUGAAUAAUUCUUCCAGGCCGGGCGCAAAGCGCUCAAGGAACAUGGCACGGAACUCGGGCCAAUCCCGCAUGUCACCAUCAAUGCCUGAUUCCCAGGUCUGCGCAUCGCCUGACAGGCGGCAGCGUGCGACAAGCAACUUGUCGACAUUGGACCAUUGGAAUACACGAGCGUGACGCUCAAUCUUAUCAAGCCAUUGGCGGGGAUCGUCCUGCCGGGGGUCGAAGAUAGGGAUAGAGUUGAGGCUAGACGGGGUGACACCGAAGUGCUCGUCGGCCAUGCUGACGGAAGCAGGGGUAGAGGUGAAAGUAGACGUGGCGCGAGAUUGCGGCUGCGGCUUAGAGUCUCACACGGCGUAGUUUGCCGGGUGGUGUUUGAGGUGGCUUAGAGAGAAACCAGGGAGCCGGAAGUAAUUAACCAGGAAGUAGAUGGAGAACGACGGGAAUUAUCAAUUAGAAGAUGGUUGGGCCCAGAUGGCCGGUUUUGUGAGAGGCACAGGCGUGUGCGUCACGGUGCGGGGCCGGAGCAAGAGACCUGCACAGUGAGUUUUAGGUUGAGAUAGAACCCAACCGGAGAGACGAUAGAGGUGGAGGAGAAAGAUACCAAGGGAGAAGAUAGAGGAGGAGUAGGGAGGCACCAACCGAAGGUUGGGGCAGGGCUUAGAUAGCCGUUUUUGUGAGAGGCACAGGCGUGUGCGUCACGGAGUGCGGGGCCGGAUGAUAGGUCUGCACAAGGAGCUGAGAACGAGACCGGGUUUCCCCGCGUCUCGAUACCACAAAACCCACCACACACACAAGGUGUACACACACAAAAAUUAAAACUUUUGGUGCGGUGUGUAUGGAGGGGCCAAGGACCUUAUAACCCGCCUGUCACGCGUGUGGGGACGGAGUGACAAGCCUGCGCAGCACUGCUUCCACUGCAACGGUCUCGUUCUGUGUUGGCUCCGGUGUUAUAAGACUGUAUUGAUGAGGCCAAGGUAGACCAGAGAGUUAUCGAGAUAAGGAGGAGAAAUCGAGACUAAUCGAGAUGCGGAAGCGUAGCGGAAUGUUACGGGGAAGGUACCAAGCACGGGAACCACCUGCGUGUCAACGGCUGACACGAAAACCGCCUAAGCCGUGCCUUCAGCCAACCCGGGGAAAAGGGCUGGAGAGAGAGGGAGAAAGGAGCCGUGCUGCCGAGCUGGGGUUCGCUGGUCUUAGGCACUAAGGCUGGCGCGCAGGGGCGCGAGGGGAAACCAAGGGAGGCUGGCGCACAAGGGCGCAAAGGGAAGCCAAGGAGAAGCUGGCGCACAGUGGCGCA